ACGUUCGAGACCGGUAUCACACAGGCCUGACUUUCUCAGACAAAUUGCUGUAAUGAGUUACUGCCCAUUCCGCUGAAUAGCGCCAGUCAAGGCAAAAGGCAGAAAUAGCCCAAUGGAAGAUCAGAUAAGAAUGCCAUUUCCCAACACUGGAUGAUUUGGACUGCCGUACACCACCCCUAGUUGGCUACUAGUCCACUUUGUUUGGCAUUGGUUCAAUCAAUGUGCAAAUACUUUCUGAAAUUACUUUAUUUAUACUAAUUUAUUACAAUUACUAUUUCAUUUUUGUGCUAUUUCCACACUCGGCUGCUUUUAUUUUGGCUCUAAAAACUAAAUUUCCCAGCCUAAAGCACAUAAAGUCCCAUCUACCGUCAAACAACGUCCCAUUUUAGCACAGGAUUAGCGUAGCCGUUGUAGAUUUUAUUUGCAGUUGUUAUCUAAAAACACAAUUUCUAACUGUAAAACAAAUCAGGGGAGGCCUACUGUCAAAAAUGUUGUAUUUUAGUACGAAAUGCCUCACUUUUAGCACUCAUGGUCCAUUACCUUAACUUUUCAAGUUGAGAAUAGCAUUUUAUUAAGAGCUAAUUAAACAUAAAUUAUAAAUUUAAACCAUUUUCCUUGAUAGCUACUAUCUACUGGAAGAUAUUCGCUAAAGCAGUUAGCUUAGCCGUUGAAGAUUCCUUCAUAAGAGCUACUUAUUUAACAACUUUCUCUUCCUUAAUACCUUUAAUUUGCAUCUAAAACACAAUUUGUAAGUCUAAAACAUAUUAAAUACAGUGUCCUGUCAAAACAUGGAUGAUUUUGGUGAUAAAUGGUUCAGUUUUAGCAGAGGGACAUUAGCUUAGCCACUAAAGAUUAUUAGCCCAUCAACUCAAUUGACUCAAAAUGGAUAAAAUAUAGAUUAUUACAGGAUAUUGCUCGUUACUGUCAUCUGUUCUACAUGGUGUAAAUAUAUUAUACUAUAAUCCCUUUCUGAAGUUAUUUAGUGAAAUGAUGCAUAUUGACUAUCAACUUAUUGCUUAGUCAGCCAUGUUUGUUGUUUACCUGUGACGUCACAACUAGUACGCGCCAAGUGAAAUACUUCCUACCUUUAUUACCUGCGACCAGAGAGUUGGAUGGUGGUAUUCCGCUAAGGAGAAGUGACCCAAACCAAGACCAAGAUGGAAUUCCGACUGGGAUUUAGGAUCACUCUGGUCUUGGUCAUCCUGACUCUUUCAAGGGAAAGUGUGGACGCUCAGAGGGCGGGGUGCAAAAACGUCCACUAUGACCUGGCGUUCAUCCUGGAUACCUCAUCCAGCGUCGGCAAGGAGAACUUCGAGAAGAUCAGGCAAUGGGUGGCCAACCUGGUGGAGUCCUUUGACGUGGCGCCAGACAAGACCCGAGUGGCUGUGGUCCGCUACAGCGACCGUCCCACCACCGAGUUCAACUUGGGCAGAUACCGGAACCUGGAGGACGUGAAGCAAGCCGCUAGGAACAUACGCUACCUGGGGGGAAAUACAAUGACCGGGGAUGCUAUCAGCUACACCACCGACAACAUCUUCAUGGAGCGAAAUGGGGCCAGACCCGUGGGAGCCAGGGGCAUCCAAAGGGUGGCCAUUUUGCUCACGGACGGUCGGAGUCAGGAUUACGUUCUGGAGCCGUCUAAGUUGGCCGCCAAGGCUGGCAUCAGGAUGUUCGCGGUGGGCAUCGGGGAGGCACUGAAAGUGGAGCUGGAGGAGAUUGCGGCGGAACCCAAGAACGCUCAUGUUUUCCACGUGACGGACUUUAACGCCAUCGAUAAGAUCAGGGGUCGGCUCAGGAGGCGGCUUUGUGAGAAUGUACUGUGUCCAAACAUGAAAGUGCAACCUGAUCGCUUCAAACAAAACAGCACCAGUUAUGGCCUACAGGAGGUUCCAGGCUUCGACUUGAUGGAGUACUUCAGUGUCAAAGAUAUUCUGGGAACAAGACUUGAUGAGGGCCAAAGUGCGUACGUUCGUCUUGGCACCAUGCCAAUUGUGCAGCAGACUGAAGACGUGUUCCCCCAGGGUUUGCCGGAUGAAUACGCCUUUGUGACGACGUUUAAAUUCAGGAAAACCUCAAGACGAGAAGAUUGGUACCUCUGGCAGAUUUUUGACAAAUAUGGAAUCCCACAGGUGUCCAUCAGGCUGGACGGUGAGAACAAGGCGGUGGAGUACAACGCCGUGGGACUGACCAAGGACGCCGUGCGAGCCGUCUUCAGGAACUCCGAAGUGGACAACCUGUUCGAUCGCAACUGGCACAAGAUUGCGCUGAGCGUGGAGGCCAAGGCCGUGUCUCUCUACCUGGACUGUAAGCACAUUCAGACCCUGCCGAUCGGAGACAGGGAGGACAUCGACAUCCAGGGGAAGACGGUCAUCGGGAAGAGGUUGUACGACAGCGUGCCGAUUGAUUUUGACCUCCAGAGGAUGGUGAUCUACUGUGAUUCCAAACAAGCCGAGCUGGAAACCUGCUGUGAUUUACCUAAUGGGCCUUGCCCCAAGAAGGUCGUGACAGAGGCUCCUCCAGUGGCGAUCCCCACCCCGACCCCUACCGUCGCGGAGCAACAGAGGGGCCCCCAAGCCAACUGCUCGUGCCCUGCAGGAGAGAAGGGAGAGACUGGAGCACCUGGCCUUGCAGGCCUCAAGGGUGAAAAGGGUGACGCCGGCCCUCGAGGUGCCACAGGGCUGUCGGGCCUGAGGGGAGAAAAAGGAGAAGCUGGCAAAGUAAUCUCUGUCAAAGGUGACAGAGGGGAGAAGGGUGAUAGAGGCUCCAUAGGGCUGACAGGUACCCCUGGACAAAAGGGAGAGAAGGGAGUCGGGGGUUUUCCUGGUAUUGAUGGCCUAUCUGGAGACAAAGGAGACAAAGGGGAGGCAGGACGGGCUGGGAAUCCAGGACUUCCUGGUCUCACUGGAUCACAGGGCAUUCAAGGUGACGCAGGAUAUCCAGGAACACCGGGACCAAAAGGUGUCAAUGGCGAUCGGGGAAUAAAAGGUGAAAAGGGAUCGAUAGGACCCAGUGGGACGACCGGUUUGGAUGGAUUACCUGGAAAACCUGGCGUUGCUGGCCAAGAUGGUUUGAGGGGACAGACUGGUUUGCCUGGGGCCGGCGGAGUCAAAGGUGACAAGGGGGAGCGAGGAAUUCCCGGAUUACCCGGUGAUGUGUAUCAACAAGAGGGCCUAAGAGGGGAAAAGGGAGAUGUUGGACUUCCCGGGCCUCCAGGUGCUGAUGGCCCACCAGGACUUCCUGGUCCUCCAGGUGUACAGGGUCUACCAGGAGAGCCCGGAGAAUUUGGCCAAAGAGGAAAGAAAGGUGAAAGCGGAUUGCCUGGAGUAGAUGGACUUCCAGGACCUGUUGGUCCACAAGGUCCAGCGGGACCACCAGGGAACACUGGUAACACUGGACCACCCGGCCUGCCUGGUGAAAUUGGAUUUUCAGGCAAACCUGGCGAAGCGGGAAAGCCCGGUCUUCCUGGUAAAGAUGGACUGGAUGGUCUUCCUGGUAAUGAUGGCACCAUGGGGCCCAGAGGAGAGCGUGGAACAGAUGGUUUUCCUGGCAAGCCUGGACCAAAGGGUGAUGAUGGGCCUCCUGGACCAAGAGGACCUCCAGGGGAGAGAGGAGAGGCUGGUGCUCCUGGCCAACCUGGUGCUGGUGGAGCAAGAGGAGAGAGGGGAAGUCCUGGUGAGAGAGGACAGGAGGGACCAUUCGGGCCAAAAGGUGAAAAGGGUGACAAGGGUGAAAUAGGGGCCAGGGGACCGCCUGGUAUUCCUGGAAAUGUAGCAAAUGUUAUUCCUGAACCGGGUGAACCUGGAAAACCAGGAGAGAAGGGAGAGAAAGGGGACCAAGGACAGACUGGAGAAAUGGGCCCAAGAGGAUUACCUGGUGAACAAGGCUUUAAGGGUCCAACUGGACCAGCGGGCCCUAAAGGUGACACUGGACUUCAAGGAGAGACAGGACGCGUUGGAGACCCAGGCCCUCCUGGCGUAGCAGGUCCUCAGGGGCCUCGAGGACUACCGGGCAAUGUGGGCAUACCAGGCAUCAUUGGGCCCCCUGGUGCAGCUGGAGAGAGAGGAGACAAGGGAGAGCCAGGCAAACCAGGGCAAACAGGUCAACGAGGUCCAUCCGGAGAGCCUGGCUUGAUUGGGCCCCCUGGACCAACCGGGAAGGGAAAAGAUGGCCUAACGGGUGAACCAGGACCACGGGGAAAUGAAGGACCCCCAGGGCCUAAGGGCCCACCAGGGUCAAGUGGGGAGCCGGGAUUACCAGGGGACAGGGGCCCCCCAGGAGAAGGCAAAGUAGGGCCUCAGGGCCCCCCCGGAAAUAAUGGGGAUCCCGGAUCUCCUGGCUUGAGAGGCCUACCUGGUGUUGCUGGUGCUCAGGGCCCUGCAGGACAUAAUGGUCUGCCGGGAAGGCCAGGAGAGAAAGGAUCACCCGGAGAGCCUGGAAAACCAGCAGACCUUUCAGAUGUAAAACUGAAGGACAUCUGUUCAGACUGCCCAGCGGGUCCACCUGGACCACCUGGUAUCCUGGGACUCCCUGGCGAUAAAGGACAACAGGGACCUCCUGGGAAAAACGGUCAAGAUGGCUACCAAGGCUCGCCGGGCCUACCUGGACCUCAGGGCCCCCCUGGAACUGAUGGAGCAAAGGGAAUCAAAGGCGAUCGUGGAACUGCUGGAGCCCCAGGAGAUAAAGGAGAAAAGGGUCAUCCUGGACCUCCAGGUCACCCUGGCCCUGCUGGAAUGAUGGGCUCAGCUGGUAACGAUGGACAACCUGGUCCUGCUGGUCCCCCAGGACCUCCUGGAGAGAAGGGCAAAGAGGGUCUCAAGGGGAUCCAGGGUCCUCCGGGUCUUCCUGGAUUGACAGGUCCACCUGGGAAAAUGGGAAAAGAUGGACAACAAGGUGAAGCAGGAGAAUCAGGCAAGCGAGGUGAACCUGGACCACCAGGAAACCCUGGACUACGGGGACUCCCAGGCUUUAAAGGCCACAGAGGAGAACCUGGCAGUCAGGGGUCAAAGGGAGAAGAUGGAAAGCCUGGACCACCUGGACGGGAUGGCAAACCUGGAAAAGAGGGUCUGAAGGGGCCACCAGGACCAGAAGGACUUAUUGGACCAAGAGGGGAGCCCGGCAAACAAGGUGAACCAGGACCUUCAGGCAAAGCAGGCCUCCCUGGAACGCCUGGCCUUAGGGGCGACAAGGGAGAAUCUGGCAACCCGGGAUUACCAGGAUUCAGUGGGCCUAAAGGUCCAUCGGGUCCACCUGGUCCAAUUGGUCCGGAAGGGAAACAGGGAGUUCCAGGCAGGAUGGGUGACCGUGGUCUUAAGGGGGAGAAAGGGGACUCAGGCAUGAAGGGAGACAAAGGCCAUUCCGGAGAACCAGGCAUCCCAGGAAAUCCGGGACCACCUGGCAGAAAGGGACACACUGGAAUGAUGGGUAUGUCAGGACCACCGGGAGAAAUGGGAGCUCCCGGGCCACAAGGACCGUCUGGAAACCCUGGUAUGCCGGGCCCGAGGGGGGAGUCUGCCUCAGUGGAGCUGAUGAGACGGCUCAUUCAGGAGGAACUGUCCAAACAGCUGGAUGCCAAACUGGCCUACCUCAUGGCUCAGAUGCAACCAGCCCAUGUCAAGAGUUCUACGGGGCGCCCAGGACCGCCUGGCCCUCCUGGUAAAGACGGGAAUCCCGGGCGACCUGGCCCACCCGGAGAACCUGGUAUACCUGGAUUGAAUGGUGGAGAAGGAUCGAGGGGGCCCAUGGGCCCUAAAGGUGAAAAGGGGACUCAAGGAGAAAAGGGAGAACCAGGUGUUGGUGAAAGAGGAGAACAAGGUCCUCCUGGUCCAAUAGGUCCAGCCGGCAUGCCAGGCUACGGCAAAGACGGAAGCCCGGGACAAGCAGGAGCCCAAGGAGAACCAGGAAACCCUGGCCCCCACGGCCAACCCGGCCCUCCAGGACCUACUGGCCAAUGUGACCCCUCACAGUGCGCCUACUAUGCCAGCCUCGCCAACAGACCUCACACCAAAAACGUCAAGGGGACUUAGAUAAACAGAAGAGCUGUAUUUAUGAACAUUGUCUCAAAGGACUUUUUUUUUUUUGGAGGACUGACAGUCAUUCUUUUUUAUUUUCUUUAUGAAGCUUGGGGGAUUGGACGCUGGGGACUUUUUCGGGAGGGCAGCUAAUUAUUUUUUCCUGACUUGCAUGCUUCCUGUAAAAUAUAUCGGGAAACAACGCGGGUCCCUCCAGGGUGAAAAAAGGCUCUUCAUGGGGAUCUUGAGGUAUGCGACACUUUGAAAAAGAACAUGGCUUUAUUGUGUUGGUGGAAGAAAAACAUUGCUGCCAUCCUACAUUUGAACAAAAGCACACUUCAGGUUGUAUUUGUGAAGUUUUGUCUUCUAACUGGCUCAGUUAGUCUAUCGGGUGAGCUUAUUAAGAAUGAUUAAUUCAUAAUUUUACCAUUUGCAUUUGUUUGGGCGUAUGCAGCUCAGUCAUGGUGCUGCAAGGCAGUAGCAGCUGUCUUUUUAGUAUACAUCACAAAAUAUCUAUACAAUUUCUACAGUUGUGUGUGUGUCUCUCGUGUCGUUUAGAUCCACUUCGGUCGGAGAACUCCUUUCCAAAACUGGAACUCGUGUCUCACUUGUGUUUGUAAACAGCAGACUUCUUCCCGCUGUACAUGAAAAGAGGUGGUGGGUUUCGGUUCAUACAGGUGGAUGGGUCACAAAGGCCCGGCGGACCAGAAGGACCCCUCGGACCAACCGCUCCCGGGAUGCCGGGAGUUCCUUGUUCACCAGGCUCUCCGUUUUUGCCGUCCUUUCCCACACCGGGAGCACCUGGGACACCUGAAGGUGGGAAUGACAUAAAUGGAUAACCAUUGUCAUAAGCAAGUCUUCAGAUUUCAUUCUGUACUGCCUUGUAUGGAAAUCUUACCUGGUGCACCCGGUGGACCCGCGCUUCCUUUAAUCCCAACGCCGUCCUCUCCCUUAUCUCCUUUAUCUCCCUUGUCUCCAGUAUCGCCUGCAGAGAGGAGCCAGAUAUAAUAAGAUACUAUUGUUUACACUUUUAACAGCAGAGAGAUUUAAUAUGGACCUUUCUUUCCUGGUGCGCCUGGAAGACCAAAGAACCCUGGAUGACCUUUGGGACCCAUCACCCCCUGAGCUCCUGGAGGUCCCGCCGCUCCUUCGGCUCCAGCAGGGCCCGGUGGUCCCGCCGGUCCUGGGAUACCAGGGGCACCGAGGGCAGCUGGCCUCUUGAGGAAAUCUUUCAUGAAUUCUCCUAAUUGUUCUACAUGAGGAUGAAACAAAGUGUUGGCUCAAAUCCAGCGAUCUCAGUGAUUCAUCAAGGUUUGAAUGUAUAAAUCCUACCUUCAACGACAGCUGAACACAUUUCCCGGAGCUUCUCGUCACUAACUUUAGGGCCCUGUGAGAAUACAAUGGAGUUUUAGAUCUUAACCUCACAUCAAAUCUAAAAUAAAGCAUAUUUUAGAAGAGGUGUUGGAGUGAGAACUUACCGGCAGACCUCUGGGUCCUGGUGCUCCUGGUAAUCCUGGUUCUCCCUCCAGCCCUCUUGCUCCCAUCGGACCAGCCAGACCUUCAUGACCUGGCUGACCUGGUCUGCCUUCUGCCCCGGUAGCUCCUCUGAGACCCUUGGCUCCAGGCUGAGGAUGAUAAAUGAAAUCCUGCUACUGUAUGUUCAUGUACUGUAUAGAUUAUGUAUGGUAGUCCCAUUCAUUGUUUUAAUGUGCUGUUCAUGCUAAGCAUCAACCUAUUUACCUCUCCUUUAUUUCCAGGAAUACCAGGAGGGCCCUAAAAGAGAAAAGGGAGAAGACAUUUACAAAAAAAGGUUGUUUCAAGGUUAUUGAAGCAAACGUAAGUUCAGCAUACCUGGUCUCCCUUGACUCCAGGAUCUCCGGCAACACCUGUAUCUCCCUACUCAUCAAAGAACAAUGACCCUGCUCUCCUUGAGGUCCAAUAGCUCCCUAGUGACCAUCAUUGUGUCAAUACGUCAUAUUUCAAUUGGGAAAUGAUAUUUUUUAAAAUGGCCGUCAAUGGGAACACUGACUUCAUCACCCUUUGGUCCCUCCAAGCCUUGGCGUCCACGCACUCCCUCCACACCCUGAUGGGACAACCUCAAUAAGCACUUCCUGACGCUGAUUUCUUGUACUAAACACCCAAGCUGAUCAUGUGAAGAUUCUUACUGGAGAUCCAGGUGGGCCUGUGGGUCCUGGGACACCAUUAAACCCUGGAGGACCCUGGGACACAUCGAGAAAAAAAUCCUCAGCUUUCACUUUAUAAAUGUCUCCAGGUGUGUGUGAGUGACAGGAAGAAAGGCUCUGACUCGCUUGGCGCCAUGUGACGACCUGUCCUUUUCAGACAUUUUCCUAGGAGCACCCGGGCUGCCAGGAGCCCCCGGAAGACCCUUUGAGAGAAGAUAAAACAGUCAAUCCACACCAUGAAGCCCGCACCACAGGGAAUGUCGACAUCCAACUCUGGAAACGUUGAAAUGAUGACGAACUACACAAUCCCUGAAAAGAGUGCUUCUUCUUUUCUUCAGCCACCUAAAGAGACCUGUCUUUGUGGCGACUGAGUCAGCUCAUCGACUGCGAGUGGCGUGGCCGUGGACGCGACACAUCUGGAGGCAGUUCACAGAUCCCACAUAAAUGCUGAGAAAUGAGAUCAAGUGGCGAGAAGGGGGGGGUCCCUUCGACCCAGUCGGCUGGGGGUUCCUCCCUUUAAUGUGGGGGUCCGCCCGUCUGUCGGAGUCGGGGGGCCCGGGUGCUGGUCCUCCGAUGGUACGGCCUGCAGCUCCUCCCAGUGUGGACGGCCCCAAAGAUGCGCGUUCGCCUCUUGAGUGAGUGAAAUGUCAAAGAGGUGACUGAUGGCUUCGUCAGCAGCAAGGACAGAUGUCGGCCUCCAACGUUUACACCCUUAAAAGACGUCUUCAAAGGUCCCCUCGGGGUCUCACUGACUUUUUUUUUCC